rnacentral:lncRNA from 1 species
AUGUCAACUCCUGCGUAUUUGAAUUUUUCAAACAGACUGCCCAGCACACGUAACAAAGUCAGCUUUGUGAAAGGAGCAGCUAUUACUCUUCACCCAAACGCGGAAAUUUAUGACUCCCUGGGCUACACGGCCGGCCGGGUCCGACAGGGUCGACCGGCCAGGAGUGAGCUCGAGGAAGUGCCCUCCUCGCCGCUUCUCCCGCUGCUCCAGCGUGCGCAAUCCACCUGUUGCUUUCCGCCCCGGAUUCUCAUUUCACCCCCGGACUCCCAGCUCCCCAGGCAAAGCCGCGGCCAGCGGAAAGUUCCGGCGGGCCCCAGUGCUCAGGCUGCACCUUACAAUAACAGAAGAAAGUCCUGGAGGCCAAGAGAGGUGACCCAGAACUCCCCAAUUCAUCUGAGCUACAAGGAUCUGUGAAUGUAGAUUACAAGCCAGAAGGUGAUCCACACCCUGGAGAACUUGUUCAUUUUCUGUAUCUGGACUUAUUAAAAGGUUUGUGCACAAGGAAAAGAAACACACUGGAGUCUAGCUUGGAAGAAGCAAGUGGUGAUUUCACUCAAAAAAAUUGGUCUCACCUCCUGUUGGAAUCCAAAAUAAAAGCCUCUCUGACCUACUCA